rnacentral:rRNA from 1 species
AAUCUACCUAUAGGUUCGGGACAACAGUUAGAAAUGACUGCUAAUACCGGAUAUGCCGAGAGGUGAAAGCUUUAGUGCCUGUAGAUGAGCUUGCGUCCGAUUAGCUAGAUGGUGAGGUAAUGGCUUACCAUGGCGACGAUCGGUAGCUGGUCUGAGAGGAUGACCAGUCACACUGGGACUGAGACACGGCCCAGACUCCUACGGGAGGCAGCAGUGGGGAAUUUUCCGCAAUGGGCGAAAGCCUGACGGAGCAAUACCGCGUGAGG